rnacentral:rRNA from 1 species
UACGUAGGGGGCAAGCGUUGUCCGGAUUUAUUGGGCGUAAAGAGCGUGUAGGCGGUUUGGUAGGUCCGUUGUGAAAACUCGAGGCUCAACCUCGAGACGCCGGCGGAAACCAUCAGGCUAGAGUCCGGAAGAGGAGAGUGGAAUUCCUGGUGUAGCGGUGAAAUGACGCAGAUAUCAGGAAGAACACCGAUGGCGAAGGCAGGUCUCUGGGCCGAUACUGACGCUGAGGAGCGAAAGCGUGGGGAGCGAACAGG